UACAGAGGUCUCAAGCGUUGUUCGGAUUCAUUGGGCGUAAAGGGUGCGUAGGUGGCGUGGUAAGUCGGGUGUGAAAUUUCGGAGCUUAACUCCGAAACUGCACUCGAUACUGCUGUGCUUGAGGACUGGAGAGGAGACUGGAAUUUACGGUGUAGCAGUGAAAUGCGUAGAGAUCGUAAGGAAGACCAGUGGCGAAGGCGGGUCUCUGGACAGUUCCUGACACUGAGGCACGAAGGCCAGGGGAGCAAACGGG
rnacentral:rRNA from 1 species